rnacentral:lncRNA from 1 species
GGGGUGUUCUGUAGCUGCACAUGAAAUAUACAUAUAACAUCUGAUAACAUGAUUUGAAAUUGAUUUCUUACAACUAUGAUAAACUCAAUUGCAAUAUUUGAUAGCAGUAUAGUUUUAUACAGGUAUAAAUUUUUGGGACAAUUAUAUUUUGUUGUUUAUUUAAAUUUGCUCCUUGUAACUAUAACUGGCAUACGGAUGCCAGUACAAAUAUUAUUUAAACGAG